CGUGUAGGUGGUUAUGCAAGUCGGAUGUGAAAUCCCUGGGCUCAACCUGGGAAGUGCAUCCGAAACUACAUAGCUAGAGGAUGGUAGAGGAAGGUGGAAUUCCUAGUGUAGAGGUGAAAUUCGUAGAUAUUAGGAGGAAUACCAGCGGCGAAGGCGGCCUUCUGGACCAUUCCUGACACUGAGACGCGAAAGCGUGGGGAGCAAACAGGAUUAGAUACCCUGGUAGUCC
rnacentral:rRNA from 1 species